AUCGUUCAAUUUAGGAUUUUCCUAGAUCGGAAGUAAGUCGAAAGGCUGAAGGAACGCAUG
rnacentral:ncRNA from 10 species